UAAUUGUAACAAAGCCAUCCCCAACCACAAGCCUGGAAUGAACGCAUUGUUGGCAUCCCAAUGCAUGGGCUUUGACUGAUACCUCGGAGGAGCGGCCAUUUUUUUUAAAUGCCCUAAGAGUAAUGUAGCAUUCUUUUAAUCCAUGAAGGUUUAGGCCACUGACUUGGGCACUCCUAUUACUGCCUACUCGUCUGAAAUCGAGGAUAUCGGAUUCGCCUUUGUCAGUUCCAAUAGCCCACUCAAACUGAUGAUAUCCAGCAUUCUCUGUAAAAGAUUGACUCCAGUCUGCUCUAACGGAAUCAAUGCCCACCUGAGAUAUUGCAAUUAAACUUCUCAUUCUACCUUGGAAUAUAAGCUUCUUAGGUGUACAGGUAAAUCUACUCUUGUAGUAUAAGGUAUAGGAAUCCACAAAGAGGAAAAUGUUAAGAAAGAUAAAAGACCUGAUAUUGAAAAGCUGUAUCCGCAACACAAAACCAUUCGGUACAUUGUGGUUUCCUUUGGAUUCGUUUAAGUUCCUUAAGCGCUUUAAACUCACGGAUAACAUUUUUUCUGCAGUCUCUACAAAACUUCUUACGGUCGAAUCUGUAGUUUAAAAGGUCAAAAUGUUACUGAGGAAUGGAAAAGAAAAGACACAAGACCAUGAAAAGAAUAUUAACAGAAUACAACAACUGAGUAAUGCAUGCAAUCAUCAUAGCUGAAAGAAUACAUCCCUAACCAAUAUGUCAACUUAAGUUCUAAUAGUUAACAGUACACCCUAACUGGAGAAACCAGAUCAUAGCCAAACAUCCAAAAAAAUCAACAAAUGAAAAAGACCUGGAAGUUAGCCUUCCAAUGAAAUCCUCUUCUUUCAUAGUGAAAAGUGAGAGUCGGCUUUGGUCUUCUAAAGCAGAAUAAAAAUCAACUAAAGUAUCAGCAGAGAGCCAUCUGGUAUGCAAAGCACAAGCUUCUCUUGUCCCAUGACCUUUGCCAUAACCUUGACUUAUCCAAACCCUUCCAUCGCCACCACAAGCAUCAGGAUAAAGCAACUCACGCUCCCUCUCUCGCGCACGUGCACUCUCAAACACCUACCAAACAACAACCAAUACAUUAUUAUUAUUAAUAUUUUUAACAAACAAACGGCUAUUCUAUUACUCAAACUUACAGUUUGUAGCACUUUGAAAGAUUUGGGAUACAAAUAACAAUCAAGAAGCGUGAGCGAUUCAUCCCUCGUUGCGGUGAUUCCUCCCCACUGAUGAGCGUCGGGGUUACUGAGAGCUGAGCUGUUUUUCGAUGAUCCUUUCUUCUGUUGCAACGAAACGAUCUGCAAGAAGCCUUCGAGAAGAAGGCCGUGGCAUCUAGAGCAGCACAUGUUCUUGCGCGCCUGCUCAAAGAGAGCUUGCCUGUCGAUGCGGAGAAGCUUCUGCUUAGCUUUCGGAGAUAACUCGCUCCAGAACUGUAUUCAAUUAGUUCAAAACAAAAUUCAAUUUCAUCGACACGUGUCAAAUCAUCGUGAGAGUUAGAUGAAUGGGAGGAGGAGAAGGACCUUGUGGAGCUGAAUGUAGCUGACUCCGUCGACGUCACUGGACCAAAACCGAGAGGAGGAGUGGUCAUCCUUGUGUGCCAUCUAACACUCGUCUCUAAUCUUCAACAACCAAUGAGAUUCUUCAUCGAAGAGACUAGUAAAGCGGAUUCAAAGCUCAGCCGAAUCGGAAAAAAAAAUCAACGAAAUUAAAUUGGUGGAGGAAAAUGAAUUGGGUGAAUUGAAUCGUGAUAAACCCGAUGAUGAUGUUUUCUCCGGAUUGAGAUCCCUUUGAUGGAGGGAGGGAAGGAAUCGAAUCAAAAAUUGGAAUGAAUCGGGAAAGAGACGCGAGGAAGACGAUUACGAUGAGAUUCGCUCGCGGAGCAGCUAAAUAUACAUUAGGCGAGACGCGUUAGAGAGAGUUGCUGGCUUGGAAAGAGGGUUAGGAAAUGUUAAAAUGAAAUGACCUUAAACCUAUAAUAUGCAAAGAGAUCUAGCUAACAUGGUGACAGGCAUGAGUGCAUUCAUCAUCAAAAUGUAUGGUCAUGAACCAUAAAUUAUAAAAUCUGUUCCGGCCAGUUUUUUAUUUUUUAUUUUAUGUUUUGGAUUUAACCUCCUAAAUCUCAAAGUUUUAUGUAUAUAGAAGGUUUAAAUUCAGUUAAUAAUAUUUCGGUUUUAUGUAUAUUUUUUAACUUCUUUAAUAUGUAUUUUAAAUUUAAAUUCAUUUCAGAUUCUUUAACAAUGCUUCGGAUUUAGUUACUUAAAUUGAAAUAGUUUUAUGAUUGAAUAUUUGAAAUAAUUAUUUAAAUUUUAGAUACUAUUUUGUUACAAAAAAAAUACUAAUUAGUUUUUUUUUUUUUGGUUUCUUCUCGGAUUUGGGUCGAUGAUAUUCAAUAUCCAAACUCCUGUAGACCGAUUCAGUACUUUUACCUGAUGAUUCCACCAUGAGGAAUGUUGCUAAGAAGCAUUCAUUUGAGUUACCCAUACAGCUGAGGAACAAGGACUUUACCUUGCUGUUAACCAAACAAUAGAUUAUACCAGAUAACCAUCUAUAGAUCGUCUUCUGUAUUGAAAAUUAUUCAUUUUAAAUAAAUCUGAAUCUUUGAAAAUAAUAAAGAAAAAAAAACUCUUGCAGAGGAUCUUUACACGAAAUGAAAUAAACCACCAAACAAGUCCAAAGUAAACUGUAUAAACCCUUUCCAGUAAACAGUAUAAGCCUCUUAGAAGAGAGAAAACCUCAAACAGUUACUUUCCGCAAACAAAUUGUACUCUUCACCUACUGUCCUCUCUUUCUUCUUCUUAUUAAUGUCACCAAACACAUGGUCUCCCGAGAACUGCAAGGAGAAGUCCCCCAAAACCCCAUCUUUGGGAUUAGCAGGAUUCGACCUACUUGCUGUAGAAAGAGCAACUGGCCCACCAAAGUGGAACAAGGAGAAGUCCUCGCCACUAUCAGUUUCCUGACCUCUUCUGCUUGGAGUUUUCACUGGAGACAUUCUGUUUAUUUUCCUUUCAUCUGCUGCUUCCUUCAGAUAACUGUGCUCAAGUGGCUCAAGAGUUUGAACUUGUUCAACAGUGUUGACUUCAGCAUACGGAUGAUAAAGGGGAGCUGGCCCGGAGUUGUAGAAAGGGGUUGCUGAAUGGUUCAAUGGGGUCCCGUACUGCAGGCAUAACGGUGAAUCUCCAUUCAGAUUGUAUCCAAGAGUACCUGCGUACACAUAAUGGUUAGGAUGAGGGAAGGGCAUCAAUCCAUUGGCUGGAGCUGCAGACCAAGAAACUGGAGCUUGAUGGUAGUAACCCAUUGUUGCAGGAGACUGGAAGACAGGCAACGGUAUACUCUGGUUAAGCAUUUGAGGAAACAUCAUGCUUUGUGGUUGGGACAGGUAGGAACCAGUUAUAACACUGGGUACCGUAUUGUCCAGGCUUUGGCUAAGAACCGUAGAAGGUGUUUCUGAUAAUUUACUUUCCUCGUUUUCAGCUGGAUGGUUGGACAUUUUCUUAAUCCUUAGAAGGUCUCUUUCAUCAAUACUCUUCUCUGUCUCUUUCUCUAUCAUCUUCUCGUGACAGUCAUGCAUUUCAUUGUCCACUAGUUUCUCUUCCAAGUCAGACAUCGGGGAGGAUACAGUGUUUCUGCUGUUUGAAGACGAUGUAUUGCUAUCUCCUUCACUGAGACAUGAAGAGCAAUUAUCUGAACUGGAGCUUCUACUCAUUACAGGAGCUUUCGAGUACAUGUCAUCAUUCUUCGAUAUUAAGUGAACUUCCAUCUUCUUGUCUUCCUCAAUUGGAUUAAUAUAAUUACCAGAAAACCUGAUGCAAUCACUACCCAACUUUUCUGAAGCAUUGCAUUCAGACUGUGUAUCAGCUAACUUCACAGCGAAACUAACAUCUACAACCUCUUCUGCAUCAGAGUGUGAGCUGUUUCGCGGAUGCUUCACCUGCGUGGAGUCCAAAACCUUUCUCACAGUUACUGGCAUACCUCUGGCUGCCGAUAUAUUAGAUUCUGCCUUUUCCCAGUAUCCAUUACUGGGUUUGUAACUGCAAGAAUGGUCAUCGUACCUCUCACCAUUCCUCUUGUCUGAACACUGAAACCCCUGAUGAGACCUAAUGCUGUUUGGUUUACCACCAGGCUUCGAAGCUUUCACCCUCAGAUUUUUAUUUGACCCAUUAGGAUGUCUUGAAGACCGUUCUAUCCAUAAUCUUUCCGUCUGAUGAACAGGUCCUGGGCUAUCAUUUGUACAGCACCCAUUUUCAUGAUCUAUAAUCUCUUUAUCAGUGCUAUCAGAAUAGUGGGUCUCCGCGGUUGAAGUAAUGCAACCAUCCAAACACUCUCCAUCUUGAUCAUCAGGAGUACCAGGUGAAGACAAUUCUACAUCUCCAGUUUCAAUUCCUGUGUCCUCACAGUUUAUGGUGUUGUUUGACUCCUCAUCAAGAUUCAUAGAGCCUUCUUCUUCUCGUUUUUCUCGUUCCUUAUCAAUAAACUUUGGGUUCUUCUGCUCUUUUUCCUUCAACCUCUCUUUUCUACGAAGUUUUUUCUCCCUUUCUUUUGUUCUUUUCCGCUCUUUUCGCUCCUCUUCUUCACGCUUUUCUUUUUCUUCUUCCUCAAGAAGCUUAUUCUGCAAGUGUUAAGAUGAUGAAAUUGUUGGACAGAAAAUGGGUAACAUGUCAUGCGAAAUUGCACAAAUAGUCAAAAAGUACAAUCAAGAUAGCAAACAAACCUGCUUCUCCAAGGUGAUAAUUUCCUUGCAGGCAACAUGAACACGUUGUUCUAGUAGUUUCGAUGAGAGGCAGAUAAAUAUAAUGUGUGCAUUUUGACGGGCUGUACCAUCCCUAAAUGCCUUUUCAACCUAAGACAUUAUUAUGAAGAGAAGGUGAACUUAGAGAAAUACACCUACAUAAAGCGCAGAAUAAAAACAGAAGAAUCUAUAACAAACCUGCUCCUUGAAUAUAACCAUUGCAGCAUCUAGAAGAAACUCUCGAGCAAGUUCUGGACUCUUAGCGUGCUUUUGUGGACGGAAGCACUCACCAUCAAGCUCAUUCCCAUCUUUGUCCAUCGCGACUUCAUUCUUAUAUAUUUAUUGGAAAUACAAUGACAAUAUUUUAGCAAGGGCCAAGGAGAUAUCAUAUCUGCAAAGUAGUAAAUAUCUAAAGGGUCUCAAUCAAAAAGCAGUGAAGCUUCGAUUACCUCUUCUUCCUCAACCUCUUCGGCAUGCUCAAAAAACAUUCGGAUGCAUUUCCCUCUUUUAAUUGUAACAAAUCCAUCCCCAACCACAAGCCUAGAAUGAACACAUUGUUGGCAUCCCAAUGCAUGGGCUUUAACUGAUAUCUCGGAGGAGCGACCAUUUUUCUUAAAUGCCCUAAGAGUAAUGUAGCAUUCCUUUAAUCCAUGAAGGUCUAGGCCACUGGCUUGGGCACUCCUAUUACUGCCUACUCGUUUGAACUCGAGGAUAUCGGUUUCGCCUUUUUCAGUUCCAAUAGCCCACUCAAACUGAUGAUAUCCAGCAUUCUCAGUAAAAUGUUGACUCCAAUCUGCUCUAAC
rnacentral:lncRNA from 1 species